CCCACCUUAAAGGGGACCUGUCAGCUCUCCAAUCACUCAUGCUCUUAUAGAAAAAGCAUUACAUGUAAUCUAUAAAUUAUUUGAGCAGUUGUGCUAGCAAAUGUUUAAGUUGGAAGACAGAUUGAUUUAAAAAAAAAAGAAAAAAAUUGCCCAUCUGUCAAUCAAUACUUCAGCAUAAAUGUUGAGAAAUGACUGACAGGAAGAGCAAAAGUGACCCCCGACAGGAAGUCCUUCUGUUGUCCACCCAUAGCAACUACAAUUCAUGCACUGUGGAUGCUUUGGUAACUCUUAGUUGGCACUUAAGGAGUAUAGGAAUGAAGUGACUG